GUUCAUGUGAUGUUGAGAUAAUCAAGACUCCUUGUGAGUUACCUAUAUCGUUAAAUGCAUCAUCCCAGGUUCAACCAUUUAUAUCGUCAUGUGCUCUGCCCGCUACAUUAACAUCAACAAACACACAAGAACUGAUGAGUGCAUUAUGCACAUACAUCAUGGAGAUAGACGACGCCGAAUAUUUGGAGAAACAUUGGAUUCAGAGCACCAAGCCUUAUCCAAUUUCUUUAAGUCUUCAACAGCUUAAAAAUAUAUUGGAUGUAAAUAAACCGAUGGAUAAGGAUUGCUUCAACAUAGCUGUUCGGAUGAUCGCAUGCAGUGAUGCCUUGUUCUUGUUGGAAAACAAAUACCACUACAUGGAUCUACAGUUCUGUUCCAUAACUAAUUAUGGUCAAGACCCUCGCCUUCGUGCAAAGCUAGAUACCAAUGUAUUGGCGAAUUUAUUUGAAUGUUGGCCUGACAUGGAGUAUACUAUUUCAGAUUGCAGCCAAAUUCUAUUGCCCUUUUGUUUCUUGGGUCACUUCAGUUUAUAUGUAUUUAACAUGAACACCAGAAGCAUCUAUAUAAUGGACUCCAUGCCUCUACCAUCAUGGUUUAAGGGUAACGAUCCAAGCAUGCAUUAUAUUCACAAAAUACAUAAUAUUGCCAAUAAUAUGAAUGUUGCCAUGAAAUUGGCUAAUCCUACAUGGAAAGACGAUAUUUAUAUGUGGCGUCGUAUAGUACCAUCAUGGGUUCCAAAAACAUUAAACUGGGAUUUAUCAGGCUUUCUUGUUAUCAACUUUAUGCACUCGUGGAAUGGUAAAAGGUUACCCUGCAUUUCCACUACUUCAAGUGUACUGAGGACCAAAUUCUUGGUAGAGUUGAUGAAGUACCAGGACAAUGAAUGUAAUGACAAUAUUCCAGAAGAAAUACAAAAGAUUAUUAAGCGCAUCAGUGUUUAGUUGGCUUUAGAUAUAUGUGAUUUUAUUUGUAAAUACUCGAGUUUAUGAUAAAAACAAAGAUUUAGAAUUUUUCUCACUUGUUAUUCCUGUC
rnacentral:misc_RNA from 1 species